UACGGAGGGGGCUAGCGUUGUUCGGAAUUACUGGGCGUAAAGCGCGCGUAGGCGGACCUGCAAGUCGGGGGUGAAAGCCCGAGGCUCAACCUCGGAACUGCCUUCGAUACUGCGGGUCUACGAGUCCGGGAGAGGUGAGUGGAAUUCCUGGUGUAGCGGUGAAAUGCGCAGAUAAUCAGGAGGAACACCAAUGGCGAAGGCAGCUCACUGGGACGGUAUUGACGCUGAGACGCGAAAGCGUGGGGAGCGAACAGGAUAGAUACCGUAGUA
rnacentral:rRNA from 1 species